rnacentral:SRP_RNA from 1 species
UCCAGGUCCCGGAGGGCGUCAGCCCGCUAACCGCGUCAGGACCGAGAGGUAGCAGCGCCGUGUGGUGUCUUGCGUUGCUCCGUCAGGCCUGGAGUA